CCUACGGGUGGCAGCAGUGAGGAAUAUUGGUCAAUGGGCGUAAGCCUGAACCAGCCAAGUCGCGUGAGGGAUGAAGGUUCUAUGGAUCGUAAACCUCUUUUAUAAGGGAAUAAAUUGCGGGACGUGUCCCGUUUUGUAUGUACCUUAUGAAUAAGGAUCGGCUAACUCCGUGCCAGCAGCCGCGGUAAUACGGAGGAUCCGAGCGUUAUCCGGAUUGAUUUGGUUUAACGGGUGCGUAGGCGGCCUUUUAAGUCAGCGGUGAAAGUUUGUGGCUCAACCAUAGAAUUGCCGUUGAUACUAGGAAGCUUGAGUAUGUUUGAGGCAGGCGGAAUGCGUGGUGUAGUGGUGAAAUGCUUAGAUAUAACGCAGAACCCCGAUGGCGAAGGCAGCCUGCCAGGCCAUGACUGACGCUGAUGCACGAAAGCGUGGGGAUCAAACAGGAUUAGAUACCCUGGUAGUC
rnacentral:rRNA from 1 species